GCCCAAAUGGCGGAAUUGGUAGACGCGCUACAUUCAGGGUGUAGUGGGCGUAUGCCCGUGGAGGUUCGAGUCCUCUUUUGGGCA
rnacentral:tRNA from 1 species